UACGGGGGGGGCAAGCGUUGUUCGGAAUUACUGGGCGUAAAGGGCUCGUAGGCGGCCAACUAAGUCAGACGUGAAAUCCCUCGGCUUAACCGGGGAACUGCGUCUGAUACUGGAUGGCUUGAGAUUGGGAGAGGGAUGCGGAAUUCCAGGUGUAGCGGUGAAAUGCGUAGAUAUCUGGAGGAACACCGAUGGCGAAGGCAGCCUCCUGGGCCAGCACUGACGCUCAUGCACGAAAGCGUGGGGAGCAAACAGG
rnacentral:rRNA from 1 species